GCUGCGUACUUAUCACCACCUGUAACAUCAGUUCCAACGUGAAAGGGGAUGAGUUGCACAGUCAGGAAAUAUGUGAACGUAACUGUGCAAUAUCAACGAUUUGAGGAUGAUUCACAAGACUCAUGACACAUGUCCUAGGGACACGAAGAUAGAGACUAGUGAUGAAAGAUGCCACAGAAGAAACAAUACGAGCAACAAAAGGAACAGCUGGAAUCACAGAAGGACAGGGCUGGAAGGAACCUGAGAAUUUACCAGUCUGACCUCCUGGUUUUGCACAUCAGAAAAUUUUGGCCCUGAGAGGCACAGUGACUCUUCAGAAUGAAACUUAGUACCCACCUGGCCCCAGUCCACCCACAUGGACCUGUCACCCAUCUCUUACUGUGUGUGACCUGCUUGUAUCUUU